GCCGAAGUGGCGGAAUUGGUAGACGCGCUGGACUCAAAAUCCAGUGAGAGGUGACUCUCGUGUCGGUUCGAGCCCGACCUUCGGUA
rnacentral:tRNA from 2 species